AUGUGGAGGGGUUUGUUGUUCGUAGCAGAACAGAGGGAGAGUAAAGUAACAGAUGAUGCAACCUGCCCUCUCAUCUAUCGAUCUUAUUAUCUUUCUUACGGAAACAGCGACAACACUCAAGCUCUCAGUUCACUCACCCAUCAUUAUUUUGUAGGAGCAAACUAUUUUAAAGAUGGUACAACUCAAGAAGAACAAUUAAACAUCAGAAAAAACCAAAGGAUCGGUGGGUUGAAGGAAGCAGAGGGAGAUGAAUGA